AUCAGGCAUCAAAGUACUAUUUGACACCUACAGGGGAGCAUUGUUAUGAACUGCUUUUGACUUCACAGCCCCAUUUUCCUUCUUAAGCUUGUCCAUGUCUUUCCUCAACUCAGUCAAAGCAUCCAUAAUCAUGCCCAAAGAAGGCGCAUUGCUGUCUUCACCAUCGUAUUUUGGAGAAGGAGAAGGUGACCGAGAGUAACUUAACCUCUCAUGACGAGUAGAACGGCUCUUAGAUCUGGAUCUUUCUUCAUGUUUACUCCCCUUGUGUAGUCCCUUUACCUUAGCUGAGGUGCGUGGCAUGCUGGUAGUUCUGAAUCUCUCAGGACUGGGGCAAGCAUCAGAAGGCGUCCUAGACAUGGCAGCUAAUGUUAACAAGAUGCCACCCGUUUUAACAGCAGUUCCUUUUAUAACCCCACGGGUGCCUUAACCUCACACACAAGGUAACUUUAAAUCAAAAACUCCUUCCUUAUAAUAAUCCGGGAAGUCAAAUGCCCCCAGGCUUGUAAAUAAGGCAAUAUUCCUCUUGCCCCAAUAAUGGGUAACAAGAUGGAACCAUCUCGCACCUAUGUCGGCUCACGAGAGUGCCCAAAUAAAAUUUUUUCCCUUUAGUAAUUUGGGAAGUCAAUUGCCCCCGGGCUUGUAAAUAAGGCAAUAUUCCUCUUGCCCCAAUAAUGGGUAACAAGAUGGAACCAUCUCACACCUAUGUCGGCUCACGAGAGUGCCCAAAUAUGGUCAUAUUUGCCAAUAAUCCGCCUUAUAUCAAGUAACGGAUAUCAUAUAACCAAUAAUCCGCCCUUAUACAAGGUAACGGAUAUUUAUAGUCCACAAUCCGCCCUUAAUUCAGGUAACGGAUUCAAAUAGGCAACACUCCGCCCUUAUCAGGUAACGGAUAUCCAUAGGCAAUACUUCGCCCUAUAAUCAGGUAACGGAUAAUUAAAGACAAUAUUCCACCCUUAUAACAGGUAAUGGAAAUCAUAAUACACAAUUCAAACAAGAAAACUUUAAUAUUCCUAUCACUCACCGAUAACAGAAGUCGUAACAACUUAACAGGAGGCGAGACUGACGUCCGACUUGUGUGGUGUCUGCGCAGUAACGGACUGUGUGGCGAAGUGUAGUGUAUCUCAUGUGAAUGGCACCAUCUAGCAGACAAGUGAUUUGCCAAAGUAAAAUCGAAUGCUGGAUGAGAGGGAUUUUACUGUACUUUCACAUACACAAACAUCCCCGCAAACCAUGUGGUAAAGCAUGCACAGACUUGUUUUGGGUAACCAAAACUUGCCAUAUCAGAACUGUCAAGUUGGCAACUAGAAGCCUUUAGUUCAGGCCUAGUGUUGCCAACUUAGCGCUUUUGGUGCUAAAUCUAGUGAUUUUCAUAAUAAUCUAGCGCCAAACAUUUACGUUUCUUAUUCCAUAACUAGCGCCCUUUUUUGUCCCAUUUAGUGUCAUACUUCAAAAUGUUCACAUAUAAUUUAUCUUCUUUUUUUCCUUAUGUUAGUGCCUUGUGAAAUUUUUUGUUGGCAACUCUGCAGUGCUGCUGCAGCUGCCCAGCCUACAUGGCCUACAUGGGGGUCCUACUUCCCACCCUCUAUAUCCUCAGGAAUAAGCUGGACUCCAUGAGGACCAAUAAUUUGAAUGAGAUGGACCUCCUCAUGGUGAAUGCAAUCCAUCCCUGCUUCAAGCUGCCUGUGGUCCACCUUCUUAACCCUAAUGAGGUUGAUACAGUGAGGUCAGGGUUGUUGAAAGAAAUAUAGGAGCAUGCUGUUGCCAUCGAUACAGCAGAAGCCAGUGCCAGCAGUGCAGACAAGAAUGGGGAGGAUCACUUCUUCAAGGAAUUGGGAGUGAACAUGCCAAUGGAAGUCAGCAGCCACCUCUCCAACAAGAUGAGCAGGGAAUUCAAGCCUUGGUGGUCUAAAAAAAGCACCAGCUACAGCUUGGACCAGAGCAUGUUUCCCACACUUCAGCGUGCAGCCUGGGUUGAUGUCUUCCUUAAGUAUAACACAGCUAUCCCUACUUCUGCAGCCAUGGAAAGACUAUUAUCCAAAGGGUCAGACAUAAUGAAGCCAAAAAGGGCCAGCCUGAUCUCUGAAAACUUUGAGCAUUUGACCUUCAUGAAGGGCAAUAUGGUCCUGCUCAAGACAGAAUUAUCUCCAUUGUUAUUGAAGGACUAAAUUAAGCAAGUUUCAACACAGUGCAGUGGGGAUUUGAAUCUGGGCCCACCAGGUGUUAAGUGGGCCCUGGUUCAAAUCCCCAACUCCCCUGUGAUAAUAACGUUAGAAAAUUAACAUCUAUCUAUUUACAUGUAUACCUUAGCUAUUUCCACCGCAUAGGUGGGUAGCCCAGGCAGGCCAUAACCUAGGCAACAUAACAUUAAAAUAACAUUAAAAAUAAUAAUGAUAAUGAUAACAUUAAAAUAAAGUUAAUCAACACA